rnacentral:tRNA from 1 species
GGAGAGGUGGCAGAGUGGUCGAUUGCGGCGGUCUUGAAAACCGUUGUGCUGCAAGGCACCCGGGGUUCGAAUCCCUGUCUCUCCGCAA